rnacentral:rRNA from 1 species
GACGAACGCUGGCGGCGUUCUUAACACAUGCAAGUCGAACGGAAAGGCCCCGCUUUUGUGGGGUGCUCGAGUGGCGAACGGGUGAGUAACACGUGAGUAACCUGCCCUUGACUUUGGGAUAACUUCAGGAAACUGGGGCUAAUACCGGAUAGGAGCUCCUGCUGCAUGGUGGGGGUUGGAAAGUUUCGGCGGUUGGGGAUGGACUCGCGGCUUAUCAGCUUGUUGGUGGGGUAGUGGCUUACCAAGGCUUUGACGGGUAGCCGGCCUGAGAGGGUGACCGGCCACAUUGGGACUGAGAUACGGCCCAGACUCCUACGGGAGGCAGCAGUGGGGAAUAUUGCACAAUGGGCGGAAGCCUGAUGCAGCAACGCCGCGUGCGGGAUGACGGCCUUCGGGUUGUAAACCGCUUUCGCCUGUGACGAAGCGUGAGUGACGGUAAUGGGUAAAGAAGCACCGGCUAACUACGUG